AGGAGGGAGGGACACGAGUAAAGAGAUAGAAAGAGGGAGAUGCAGACGAACGUAUUAGGCUACUCGAUGGACCCAUGUCGCGUGGAAGUGUCAGUUCACUAUAGAUUCAGGCAGAGAGGAUACUAAACAGCUCAAUUAUAGAAUUUGUACAAAGAAACAAUAGAAACCUUGUAUAGGCCCGCCUUGUCAUAAGAGCUGAGCUUGGUCGACUUUAACGCUGAAUACACAUUUGUGCCUAUGGCAAUUGUCUAGUAGGCUAAUUUACACGUUUGACCAGCGACUGGACUACGAUCUAAGGAGGGAAAACCAAGCAAACAGAAGAAAGAAUGCGUUUUAUUGUUGGGCGACAGCUUUUAGAAAAAGAGGUGUAGGCUAUGUGCCAGUGGAGAGAGCGCAAAUGAGAGGUACCCUCGUUCAUUGCGCUUGAUUGGCUCGUGCAAAAAAAAAAAAUGGAAUAGCAGAAAUAAUACAAAACAGGGGUAAGACACGAUAGACUGGUCAAAAGACAUAGGGUGCAGGAUUGUUGGAGAAAAUACAGUUGCGUUGAGGCAAAAGGGGGAUGUGGAAAUAAGUUAACGUACCAGGGAAACGUUGUGCAUUUAUUGAGGCGAGACACCAGCAAAAAAGACACACGAGGAUUGUCUGGUAGACUUAAAUCACGUUGCUAUUAAUCGUUUGUGUUGCCUUUUCGGAAGAAAUUAUACCUCUCCAAAGAAUCAGCUAUUAUUGGUGAUUUGUGCAGUCCGCAGACCAGUACAUCGAUCCACUUCACUGAAAAAAGAAGAUAAGGUGGAAAGACUGCCUUGUAAAUUAACUAAGACUAUUAACUUGAGUGUUAAUGUGUGUGUGUUUGAAUACACGCACACUUUACACACACGGGCCCAACCAGACCCAAAGCGAACUCCUCCUCCCCCCUCCCCCCUCCGUUUUCUCUCCUCUUUUCCCUCCCCCCUUUCCCCUAUGCUCAGUUCGGUGUGUGUCUCCUCUUUCAAAGGGCGCAAGGGUGGGAACAAGUCGGCUAACAAAGCAUGUUCCAGCGCAGACAUGACUUGUCCGUCAUCAGACAGCGAGAAAAUCGUGAUAAACUGCGGUGGAAUUCGACACGAGACGUACCGCAGCACGCUCAAGACACUGCCCGGUACCCGCUUGUCCUGGCUAACGGAACCAGACGCGUAUAGCAAUUUCGACUACGACCCCAAAACUGACGAAUUCUUCUUCGACCGUCACCCCGCCACUUUUUCUUUCAUUCUGAACUAUUACCGCACAGGGAAGUUGCACUGUCCCAAUGAUGUGUGCGGUCCGCUCUUUGAGGAGGAGCUCGCUUUUUGGGGCAUCGAUGAGACGGACGUGGAGGCAUGCUGCUGGAUGAACUACCGCCAACACAGGGAUGCCGAGGAGGCACUGGACAGUUUUGAAACCCCCGAGCCAGAGGAACCUGAAAUCGACCCAGCGCUCACGGGGGGCGCUGACGGGGACCUGAAGCGUUUGUGCCUGCAGGAAGACGGCCGCAAGCCCAGCUGGUGGAGCGUGUGGCAGCCCUAUAUUUGGAACCUCUUCGAGGAUCCGUACUCUUCCAAAAAUGCCCGGUAUGUGGCGUUUCUGUCCCUCUUAUUCAUCCUCAUCUCAAUCUCUACAUUCUGCCUGGAGACGCAUGAGGCCUUCAACACCAUCUACAACAAGACAGAGAAUGUCACCGUGGGUAAUGUCACAAAAGAGGAGAUCGUGUGGGAGGUGGAGACAGACAUAUGGCUCACUUACGUGGAGGGCGUCUGUGUCAUCUGGUUCACUAUUGAGGUGUUCGCCCGUGUCAUCUUCUGCCCCGACAAGGCUGAGUUCUUCAGGAGCUCGCUCAACAUCAUUGACUUCGUGGCCAUCAUGCCCUUCUACCUGGAGGUGGCGCUGAGUGGCCUCUCCUCCAAGGCGGCCAAAGACGUGCUGGGCUUCCUGCGCGUGGUGCGCUUCGUGCGAAUCCUACGUAUCUUCAAGCUGACGCGCCACUUUGUGGGUCUGCGGGUCCUGGGGCACACGCUACGCGCCAGCACCAACGAGUUUCUCUUGCUCAUCAUCUUCCUCGCGUUGGGCGUCCUGAUCUUCGCCACGAUGAUCUACUAUGCCGAGCGCAUCGGAGCCGACCCAGCCGACCCCACGGCCAGCGCCCACACCACCUUCAAGAACAUCCCCAUUGGCUUCUGGUGGGCUGUGGUCACCAUGACCACGCUGGGCUACGGGGACAUGUACCCGGAGACAUGGUCCGGCAUGCUGGUGGGCGCACUGUGUGCCCUGGCAGGCGUGUUGACCAUCGCCAUGCCUGUGCCCGUCAUUGUCAACAACUUUGGCAUGUACUACUCGUUAGCCAUGGCCAAACAGAAGUUGCCCAAGAAGAAAAACAAACACAUCCCUCGCGCCCCGCAGCCGGGCUCACCCAACUACUGCAAGCCAGAUGCACUCGCCAUGGCAACCGCCUCACCGCACAGGCUCAUGGGAAACGUGCUGGGAAACAUUGGGGUGUCCGGCAGCAUGGGCGGAGACUGCCCUCUGGCCCAGGAGGAGAUCAUAGAAAUCAACCGAGCAGACUCCAAGCAGAAUGGCGAUGCUGCGAGCGCAGCCCUGGCUAAUGAGGACUGCCCCACCAUAGACCAGGUGCUGGGCCCGGAUGACCGCAGUCCGGCCACAGGGGGGCUUGGCACGGGCCGCGAGCGCUACCCCCAUGACCGCGCCUGCUUCCUGCUCAGCACUGGGGAGUUCCGCACCACAGACAGCAAUGUCAGGAAAGAAGCAGCCGCCGCCAGCCCCAUCUCCCCCCCGGGAGAGGAAUGGUUCAAGCCGGAGGGGCCUCUGCUACAGCAGGACCUCAAUGCAAACUCUGCUUCCUCCUGGAUCAAACCGUAGCACCACAGAGAGAACUAUACUGAAAGCCCUGUGCUUAUCAGAUAUAUGCAAAAAGAAGCAGUAGCUGUGAAUUAACACUGAAACAAGCUAUCAUUCCUCCUGCAUAGCCACAUUACCAAUCAGCAUCAAGAUCUAUUUCCCUUGCACACCUCUACACACAAAUAUGAACAGGGUGUGCAGUCAUCCUCCUCCUCUCCCUGUUCCCCCACCCCCCACCCCCAUAGCUCUCUUCAACCUUUACUAGUGACUGUCGUCUGAUUGUUUCAAGUUGUCCAUCUUCCACUCGAGGCUUUGUACUCUCUUGGUUGACAUUUCAUAUCAUAUCGAAUGCAUCUCUCUCACCUCCACAGAAUCAGGGGAGAAAAUGGUGUUUUAUGACAGUGGCAACACCCAUGUUCAGAUCCAGGUUUUUGUUCUCCUGGGUGUUCUUGCUAGGGAGGUGACCGCCGUAGCAUUACAAUCCACACCAUCAGUUGUUGUUGGUUCAGGAUUGUGUUCUAUAAAAAUAUUGCAUUGCUUCAGGAAGACAUUGAGCGAAUGUUCCUGAAGUAGGAUUGGAGGCUUAUCUGAUUGUGGGCAGGCUUUGUGAAGGGGCCUUUACUUUUGGACACAUCUGGAGUCUGGAGCCGAAGCUUGGCAAGAGGCCUGUACAAAAAAAAAAAAAACACACACACAGAGUUGAAAAUCCAAACCUGUAAUACUCACAUAGACACUGCAUGCAGACCUGAGUGUCACGAGAAUGCUUGUUACACUGUAUCCAUGUGCAUCUUGUGUUAACUUCCCCUGUAUAUAAGAGCAUGGUGUAUCUCCAUGGUAGGGAAAGGGACAGUGCUUGCGUGAUGUGAAGGAAAGCAGGGUUGUUUUGAUCGCUGAUUGCUGGAGAGGUGAGACAACACUCAGGGAGAGGUUGAUGUCAGCAGCUCUGAUGUUUCUGCUUUGGACCACUGGAAACAUCUGUCGACCUGUGCAAAGUUUAGGAUCACUGAAAAGCAUUCCUUUAAACCCAUUCUAUCAUCAUUUAAAAGCAAUCACAACCUAAUUCUGGAACAAGCGUAAAUUCCAGAAUAUUCCAUACUUCUUGCACUCACUUCAAUCAGACUCUUCCCUUAUCACUACUCAGGUAUAAUUCUCUUCUGUUCCAAUCAGUGCUUCCAAAAUGAUGUCUAAGAGAAUAUAGUGGAGUAGAUAUUGUGACUAUAAUUCCUGACUGUGAGCUUCAUAUUCCUUCUCCCUUUUCAUUCAUGUUUGUUCUCAGUGUCCUCACUACCUUCUAAGUCAUAGUUUUGUUUUUCAUUUCUCCCUCCAUUUUCCUUUUUUCCUUGUUUUCAUAUAUAUUUUCUUGUACAAAUUUACUGCUUCCAAAAACUAACCAAAAAUAUUAAACUGCAUACAAAAAAUGAACUGAGGUUUAACAAAGCAAACAUGUUCCAAUUUGAUCUUGCCUGAAAAUGGAUUACAAAGAACUCACAUGGAUAGACGGACAGACCCUAAUGUGCAAUGAAAGAAAGAUGGACAGAUUGUUCUGUGUGAGGGACUAGUAGGAACUGUUUGAAAAGAGGAUUGUCAUCAAAGGAAGAAAACCGUGAAAUGGAGGACAGUUUGGGGAAGAAAGAACAAAAUCAAAAUGAGAGGAGGAUGGAAACGAAAUGAUCGCUUCUCAGUUGUUGAGUUUCUAAAUUUCCUCAAUUUCUCUCAAAAAGAAGACAGAAAAUUAUACAAUUUAUCCAGAGCCUGUCAUUGGGAGCACCAUUAGAAGAACUACAACUUACAAAUAGAAGACAUAGAGAGAGAGAGAAUAGAAGACAUGGAGAGAGAGAAAGAGAGUGAAAGACCAGGGGAAAAGAAGACUCUGGGGCAAAAGAAGAGAGUCACUUGUUUGGUAUUCUACAUGAAAUAUAGUCACAGAGACAAAUAGUGGACAAAUGCGAAACAUAGCAAAAUAAUAACAAUUGUCAAGACACUGGACCUCACUGGACUCACACGUGUACUCUAAACUGAAUGCUUUGGAUUGUAUACACUAUAGUAAACAGAGAGAGACGUGCAAAAACAAAAUCAGAGACUGAAAACUUGGGACUUGUGGGAUUGUGACUACUGCUGUAUAGUUAACAGAGUGGUCAAAGCUGCUCCAGCGUUCACUGAUUGUUGUAACUAAAACUGCUGGGGAAAGUAGUCACUGCUGUCCACCCCAAAUUAUUUUGGCCUCAGAUGUGGACAAGCCCACAGAUUUCGGCACCUUACCUCUAAAGAUGUACACACGUAUACACACACAUAUGCCCACACAUACACAGUGCAAAUUGCUCUUCGUGAUGACAUGAAGUACCACUCUUGGGGACUCUGUGAUGUGGACUUGUGUGACUCAGCAAAACCGAAACGUUGAAGAAGGAGAGAGGUGCUGAUGAUUGCCCUGCAUUUGGGGUGAUCAGUUGCCUAUUGUUUCUCUCUCUCUCUCUCUCUCUCUCUCUCUCUCUCUGUAUCUCUCUUUCUCUUCUCUCCUACCGGUCAUGCUAUUGUGUUUCCUCCCCUCCCCCCCUCAACCUCCACCUGUCUGCAUCUCGGCGUGUCUACUCUGUAGUGAACUGCAUGGCAUGAACAAAAAAACUCAAGCAAGGAAGUAGAGAACAAGUAGACGGAGGAAGAGACUUCAGUUAGCAAACAAAGGCGCAUUCGCGUUGUCCUUUUUUUUUUUUUUUUCUUCGAUUACAAAAAAAAUCUCUGAUCUUGAAGUUGGCUCAUGGCACGAGCCCAGCUGCUGAAAAAGAGCUUAGAGUGGACAAAAGAAAGAAUAAUAACGACUCCCCUUCCCAUGGGAUGACGUGUUCGAGCUGAAAGAAGAAAAGGAAGAAGGAAAAUAGACGCAUGGUGCCAAUAGAAGAACAGCAAAUGGAAGUAUGGCGAACUUUGAUGAACAAUUCAGAAAAAAAAGAGAAAAUCGAAAAUGCAUUUUCUUACUUUGUUUACCAGCAUGACUAAUUUGCAUGACUCUACUUCUGCAAGCCGUGGCCCCUGAAAAAAGCAAGGGGCUCGGAAUCCCUUCAAAAACAAAACCAAAUGGGGAAAAACAAAAGAGAUUUAUGUUAUAUGCAACUUAGAAAAGAAGAGGAUUAUAUUAAAAGAGGAUCUAUAUUUUGUUUUUGAAUACAAAAAAUAAUAAUAAAAAUAUAAGAUUGCAAGAUAAACAAACUAUGUUUUAUUAGAUAUAAGGUAAGACACCCCACCAAAUGUACUGGUUGUGAACAAUUCUCUUGCUACUUCUGCUUCUAUAAUUACUUCUAUAACUACGACUGCUCUUGUUACUGAUCCUACCAUGAGGACUCUUGUUGUAUACGACUGUACUACUUCUCCUGCUUGCUCUUUCCUGCUGCACUGCUGUCAGCCUCUCUCGCCGUCGCCCCCUGCUGCACAGGCUGCAUCACAACAACUCUCCUCUCCCAUGUUGACCUCUCACUCCUCUGCACCCACAGCUGUGCGCUGACGUCAGGAGGUCAAGGGUGAUUGCUUCACUGGAGGAGAUGCUACCCACACCAGUGCAGUUAAUGUGAAGUAGACUGUAAUAUUUCUGUCCAUGUUUUUCUGUUUCUUGAUGAGUUAUACAUUCACAGCAGUUCAGUGUGUGGGUAGACAGUAUGAGAUGAGUUGAACAAAUGUGUGCAAUUUUAGCCCAGCAAUACUAGUUUCAUAUCAUCCAAAGGGGGAGGUUCUCCUGUUCUCCAUCAUCACAACCUUGUAGCUGUCACAGGUUCACAACAAUGUUUUGUCUCCUGCCCCCAUAUCACUUCGCACUUUUACGUUUCUCCAUGCUGCUGAGUUCAAAGGUUAUUUUCAGCUCUUAUGUAGCUUAGCACUAAUGUGCUCACCUUAAUAUUUUGGCUCAAGUCUUCUCUGUGAAAUCAGUCAUUUUGGUUCUAAUGUCCUCAGGAUAAGAUUUGAUAUGAAUAAGACCGACAGGGAUAUGUGCAAAUGAGAUACACUGUGUUGACAUAACAAAGCGGUUGUUAAUGCAGUUACUGUGUAUUAAGGUUUAGCCUCCACCUCGGAAUCCUGUGGUCUUGUACUUUCUCACCUCUCCUCCUGAGUGUACCCAACUUGUGAGGGCAGUUCACUAAAAGAAAGUUAAAUUUAAAAGCCACAUUAUACCCUAGUGAAGUUCUAUAAUAGACUUGUUCUUACUGUCCAAAAUAUUCAAACAAACCUCAGAUUUCUUGUUUGGAGUUUAAAGAAUUCUUGGUGCAUAAAUGAAUUAGGCCUACUUUUGAAUAAUGCAUUGCUCAUUAUACUGUUUUGAAAUGUCAGUGACUAAUUUAUGUGUCAUCUUUAUUACAAUCAGUGCAAUUAAUUGUGCUGUUUUUUCUUUGUUAUUUUUCACUUCAGUGGCUAAUAUUGUAAUGGUGGUUGGCCAGAGAUAAGAUGUAGGAAAUAUUAUCUACAUCAUGGCCUUUGAUGAGACUUAAUUUCACCCAUAAGAAUUUCACCCACCUACUAUCAGUCAUCCAUGAGCAUCCAGUAGAUAGUAGUUGGAUAUGGGCCUGCAUAAGGAUCAAUUGAAUGAGGGCUGCAAUGACAAUUCGAGUUGUGUCAACCAGUGUGCUAAUUACCUGACCAGAAUCUUCACUAAGGUGAUCAGUUACCUAUGCAAGAGCGCAGCUGUAGUGUCAGGGCCUAUUUGCACAAGAACGUCUCAAAUUGGGUUGUAUCUGUUCUGAUCUAUCUGUUCUGGACACUUCAGCACUAUACGGUCAGUGAGUAGCUCCUAUGGUCACUUAAACCCCAGUCCUACUGUAGCCAUGCAUAAUGGUCCAUGACAGGGUCAUUGACUUCAGGUAAAAGAGUGAUGCAGUGGUAGGUUGCCCCUUAAGCAUCACUUACAUUGACAUUCAUUUCACCUCCCUGUUCUCCCAGUUCAAUGUACUGGUCUCACAUCUCCGUCCCCCAGUUUUCCAGAUAGUUCAGUAAGGCCCCAGAAUGGAACUAAGCAAGAAAAUGGGUUUUGAUUUAGAGAGAGGGAUGCGUUACUGUCAAGGAGAAUUAAAGGGAGCUAUAAGGAAGGCCUAUUGAAGCCCCUUUUUAACAGCAAAAACAACUUCAUCCACAGUCCAGGGUCUCUGAUAUAGAGCAAUAACAAGUCCACCAGUUCUCCACAGAGGGAUGACCAUUGUAAUAUGGGGUGACAGCUUCCAAAGUCAGUUGGAACCUACCCACACAGAGAAAUAUCAGGGGAUCCUUGUGAAUGUCAUUGAUUGUAACUGCUAAUGUGUUUUACACAUAGAGUGGCUUGUGAGUGCAAGUCCAUUUGCGUGUCUGUGUGCGUGUGUGUGUGUGUGUGUCUGUGUGUGUGAGUGUGUGUCUGCCUGUCUCUGUCUGAACUUGGGGGGGAUGCAUCACGAGUGGAUCUGUGAUUUAGAGCAAUGCCACGCCCAUGUGAGGUGACUGACAGCUCCACUGUUUACUUGAAACCCAAAUAUAAAACAUAUCAGUGAGGAGCAGAACAAAUCGAGCCAGAUUCAGCUGCCACUCCCCUUCUCUUUUCUCCUUUUGUUUUCCCUCCAUCCUCACCUCUGUUGCUCUCCUUCCUCUACUGUUUUUUGUUUAGGAAGAAGCUAUUUGGCAUCUGUUGUUUUCUUGUGUUCUUCUAUCAUAUUGUUUGAAGCUGAAUUAUAAUGCAUGCGUGGGGGAAAAAAGAAGACUACAAUUUAUCUGUGAAUGAUAUUGAAGAGUGAAAUAACCUUCUCUUUCACCUGUUUUCCUGCUCGAAUUCUCUCUUCAUCUGUUUAAAAAGCAGGAGGAGGGAGCGCAAAACUAAAAGCAUUACUGUGAAUCACAAACUCACUUAAUCUGAAAUUUUCAAAAUGAAAAAGUCUUGAGAAUUUCCUUUCCUCCAUUUCCUUACUGACUUUCUUUAUUGAUUUAUUUACAUUUUUGUUAGGCUUUUCUUAUGUAUUUUGGCUGUUUAGUUGUUGGCCACCAAAUGAGUUUCAUGAAGCAGGGGUUUCUGAGUGUUACAGGUUGAGCAAUGAAUAGAUAAACAAUCACACACAUUUGAGUGCUUAAAGAGAUACACAAACACCCAAAUACAUGAGCAUCAGACAACACACACAAAAAACAUUUAACACACAAACGUAAUCGCAUUCACUUACAUAUGUCAGAAACCACGGCCACAUAUUCAUAGACCAUUUUGUUUCUCUUUGUUUGCUACUAAAAGGCUAUCUUGUUUUGUUACGAAUGUGAUUAUUUUUU